UAGAUGACAUAAAAGAGGUUCUUGGAGAUGGAUAUGGCUUUCUUGCUCCCAGAGAUGUUAGAUUAAAUCCCUCUUACCUCUCUGGGAGUAGGAGAAGCCCUGGAUGCUUACAGCUGUAAAAAUCCUGAAAAUUUACAUGUCUAUUCCCCAGGAAGGAGUGCUCUAUAAAAUUAUAUGAGAGCGGGUCUGUCUGAUAAACUGCAGAUCUGUGAUCCUGUCUGCAACAUUAAGUCAGUGGAUGUGUACCAAUAGCCUAACUGGAGACAACCAUCAGUUUUAAAGAGUAAGAAAAAUCUGUUCUCUAUUAACAUUUCCUUCUGUCCUUCCUUCCAUCAUGUGAGAACUCCUCUACAAACUACAAAAGUUAAAGGAAAUUUGUGAGCAAUAUUGAACUGUGGAUCAGGGGAAGAUCAUUUCCUGAACCUAAGAACAAGAAGUGGGAAUUCUUCUCCAGUGGAGCACCACAAUUGCUUCAUUUUCAGAGACUGAUGCACCAAACUUUGGAAUCACAGCUCUAGUCCAUGAGCAGCUAAUUAUAUUGUCUACACUGCUAUGUUUUUUCCAGCUGCUGCCCCUACAGAGAUCCAAAAAUUGCCCACAGUUAUCAUACCUGUAAAAGAAGGCUGGGAGUCCAAGACAAAGUCUCUGGAAUUUGAGACAAACCUUUCUGGGAUCUGCUUUACCAUGAUCAGACUCUUUCUCAGAUAAGCUGCUUGGGUACCAGCUGGUGCUUCCAGCACAGUGGGUGCUGCUCCACAGGCCUUGUGCUCAACUUUUAUUUAACAAAACUCUAAAAUAGUGCCCCCAAAGCACCAAGAGUAGAUGAAAAUGAGAUGCUCUUGAACUUUCUACCUCAGCCCAAUCAGAACAUAACCCCUCAAAACCAGAGAAAGGAACACUGCUGCCUUUCAGAAGGCUGCUGUGGGCAAUGCAAUUGCUGGUGCACCCCUGAAGGAAAGCUACAAGAAUCCAUGCCAUGGAGGCUGUUCAGUCAAGCUUGCAUUCCCUGUGUGGAAAACAGACUGCUGUAGUGAUACCACAAUGUAUGUGAAACCUGACAAGUGGUUUUAUUGUCCCAGGCUGUCAUUGCCCUCUUCUUACCAUCUGAAUGUCUUUUCUUCCACUUGUCGUGAUUGCCUCAUUUAUUUGGGCAUUUAAGAAGGGCUAGGUUUCCUUGUGCCCUGUGGGUUUUACCCUAAUAAAAAAAAAAAAAAAAAAAAAAAAAAAA